rnacentral:rRNA from 1 species
UACGUACCGUCCAAACGUUAUUCGGAAUUACUGGGCUUAAAGGGUACGUAGGCGGCGCUGUCAGUCGGGUGUGAAAUCCCGGGGCUCAACCCUGGAACUGCGCCCGAUACUGCAGUGCUUGAGGGAGACAGAGGUAAGCGGAACUGAUGGUGGAGCGGUGAAAUGCGUUGAUAUCAUCAGGAACACCAGUGGCGAAAGCGGCUUACUGGGUCUCUUCUGACGCUGAGGUACGAAAGCCAGGGGAGCGAAGGGG